GACGAACGCUGGCGGCGUGCCUAAUACAUGCAAGUUGAGCGCUGAAGGUUGGUACUUGUACCAACUGGAUGAGCAGCGAACGGGUGAGUAACGCGUGGGGAAUCUGCCUUUGAGCGGGGGACAACAUUUGGAAACGAAUGCUAAUACCGCAUAAAAACUUUAAACACAAGUUUUAAGUUUGAAAGAUGCAAUUGCAUCACUCAAAGAUGAUCCCGCGUUGUAUUAGCUAGUUGGUGAGGUAAAGGCUCACCAAGGCGAUGAUACAUAGCCGACCUGAGAGGGUGAUCGGCCACAUUGGGACUGAGACACGGCCCAAACUCCUACGGGAGGCAGCAGUAGGGAAUCUUCGGCAAUGGACGAAAGUCUGACCGAGCAACGCCGCGUGAGUGAAGAAGGUUUUCGGAUCGUAAAACUCUGUUGGUAGAGAAGAACGUAGGUGAGAGUGGAAAGCUCAUCAAGUGACGGUAACUACCCAGAAAGGGACGGCUAACUACGUG
rnacentral:rRNA from 1 species